GCGCCUGUAGCUCAGUGGAUAGAGUGACGGCCUCCGGAGCCGUAGGUCGGGCGUUCGAAUCGCCCCAGGCGCGCCA
rnacentral:tRNA from 1 species